AUGGUCCUACGGGAGGCAGCAGUAGGGAAUCUUCCACAAUGGACGAAAGUCUGAUGGAGCAACGCCGCGUGAGUGAAGAAGGGUUUCGGCUCGUAAAGCCCUGUUGGUAGUGAAGAAAGAUAGAGGUAGUAACUUGCCUUUAUUUGACGGUAAUUACUUAGAAAGUCACGGCUAACUACGUGCCAGCAGCCGCGGUAAUACGUAGGUGGCAAGCGUUGUCCGGAUUUAUUGGGCGUAAAG
rnacentral:rRNA from 1 species